rnacentral:rRNA from 1 species
UACGUAGGGAGCAAGCGUUGCCCGGAAUCAUUGGGCGUAAAGCGCGCGUAGGUGGCCUCAUAAGUCCGCUGUGAAAGUCAAAGGCUCAACCUUUGAAAGCCGGUGGAUACUGUGAGGCUAGAGUACGGAAGAGGCGAGUGGAAUUCCUGGUGUAGCGGUGGAAUGCGCAGAUAUCAGGAGGAACACCAAUAGCGAAGGCAGCUCGCUGGGACGUUACUGACACUGAGGCGCGAAAGCGUGGGGAGCGAACAGG